rnacentral:rRNA from 1 species
AUGUUGGGGUUCAUUUAUUUUUGUCCCCUCGACUUUCUCCCGAGGAAAGCCCUCUCCCCGCGCUUCAUCUCCACCAUGGAAUUUGGUGUAGACAUUCCCGACAACCGUGGGGGUAACUAUAAAUACCCUGCGUGGGACUGCUGCCAUGGUCGCGUUCUCCUUCGGGAUAAUUGGGCGCCAACGCACCUUGUUGUUUGGGACCCCAUGACGGGUCGCCAAAGAAAGCUAAAAGUUCCCACGUCGAUGGGCUACGUCGGGAUAAUUUGUGCAGCGAGUGGUUGUGACCAUCACGCGUGUCAUGCAGGGCCCUUCCAAGUGGUAUUCUUGGGCCUUGACAUGACAGAUGAUGACAAUUGUGUUGCACACGCAUGUGUGUCCGCGCCGGUGACAAGUGACUGGAGCAAGUCAUGCUCUGAUGUUGAGUGGAGCGAUAUGUGCUCUAGUCUACAACUUGCACCUAAUGCAUCCAUCGACUCAAUGCCUCCAUCCUUGUUGAAAACGCACUUCACUUCAUGCUUACACACGAUGCUGAUGAUGGUGUAG